rnacentral:sRNA from 1 species
AGAUAACACUGCUUGACAGGAUUUAUCUUCUGACAGGAUGGAUCUGUUCAAGACUCGUUCAGAAAAAGUGUAGGAAGACAGUGAUACUCUUGGGAAUUAUUGCAGAAUUUGGUAGAUCUCUGCAUCCAUGAUGUCUCGUUAGUAGGACAUUCAACCGAAACAGUAGACAUGGUAGGGUUUACCACAAUCUGGAAAACAAAGCAUUUAAUGUUUCUCUAACACCUUUUUCUCAUAAGAAACAAUUUUUAAAACGCCAAAAGGACAUUUCAAUACAUGAAGGCAGUCAAUAGAGCGGGUACUACAUGUAGCACCAAUGUAAAAGAAAUCUGGCGAGUGCCCCUGUGCUAAACAGGCCUUCGUAACGCAUGAAGAGUCCGCUCUAACCGAAGACAACGACUGGUACGUCCAUGUGUUUUAAUACGUACUAGACUUAGACCCGUGCGUGCACGGGUUGGCAUAUUGCAUAUUAUGUCGGGCAUUUACAAAAUAUAUACAUCAAAUUUGCACACCAUGUUGACAUUCAGAAAUCUUGGAAUUUUUCAUAUUAAACACACUGAGUUAGAGU